CACAAUAUACCCACCAAGUUAAUUAAUAUAAUUAUUUAAUUAUAUCUCAUAUCAACUAAAUAAUUAAUUAACACACCAAAUUAAUUAAUAUAAUCAAUUAUUAUACUACCUAACAACCAAUUAAUUAAUUAACACUCCAAAUACAAAUUAAUUAAUAUAAUCAAUUAUUAUACUACCUAACAACCAAUUAAUUAAUUAACACUCCAAAUAAAUAAAAUAAAAUAUAGUAAUAAUAAUAUAAGAAAUAAAUACUAAAAUUGGGUUGUUACAAC
rnacentral:lncRNA from 1 species